AUUGAACGCUGGCGGAAUGCUUUACACAUGCAAGUCGAACGGCAGCACGGACUGCGGGCUGGUGGAGAGUGGCAAACGGGUGAGUAAUGUAUCGGAACGUGCACAGUCGUGGGGAAUAACGAAGAGAAAAUUACGCUAAUAACGCGUACGAUCUAUGGAUGCAAGCGAGGGAUCGGAAGACGUCGAGCGAUUGGAGCGGCCGAUAUCAGAUUAGGUAGUUGGUGGGGUCAAGGCCCUCCGAGCCAACGAUCUGUAGCUGGUCUGAGAGGACGACCAGCCACACUGGAACUGAGACACGGUCCAGACUCCUACGGGAGGCAGCAGUGGGGAAUUUUGGACAAUGGGCGAAAGCCUGAUCCAGCCAUUCCGCGUGCAGGAUGAAGGCCCUCUGGUUGUAAACUGCUUUUGUACAGAGCGAAAAGGUUUCUACUAAUACUAGGAGCUCAUGACGGUACUGUAAGAAUAAGCACCGGCUAACUACGUGCCAGCCGCCGCCGUAA
rnacentral:rRNA from 1 species